AUCUGCCAGCUUUUGAUCAUGAAUCAAAAGUCUUAGAGAUAUCUUUUUCUCAUCUGGAUAUUUUACAGCCCUGAAGAUUACUUGUAUUAAAGAGAGAGAGAAGAGAACAUGAACCUUGGUGACUGGUAAACUGGCCAAAACUUUUGGUCAACUCUUGGACUAAAUUAACCCAAUCAACUGAUGACCCUGCAACAUGUAAGCCCAACUCAAGGAACCGAAAAUAUUUGAAUCUAAUGCUAAUCAACCAGUCUUUUUAUUUUAAUUUUUAAAAGAUUUUUUUUUUUUUUGGCUGUGGUGUGUCUUCAUUGCCUUGUGCAGGCUUUCUCUAGUAGAGGUGAGUGGGGGGCACUCUUCACUGCGAUGUGCGGGCUUCUUACUG
ensembl:lncRNA